UGAUCUUGAACUCUCAGCCUACAAAGAUUACAGUUGAUGAGCUGACUCCUAUGACUCUGAGAUGUGAUGUUGACAGUAAUCCAGGAUCUGACAUCAAACUGUUGAACAACUCACAGACUCUGCGUGAAGUGACAAACUCUAAACAGGCUGAGUACACGUGGAACGAGGCUGGAUGUCUGGAUACAGGAAACUACACGUGUGAAGCGGAAAACAACAUCAAGUCAGCUGUCAGUGAACGUGUGCAGCUUGUUGUUAUAUGUUCACCUAGACUAGACCAUCGAGUUCCAUUCCAAAAAGAGUUUGCAGCACCAGUAGGUGGUAAUGUAACUCUGGUGAUAUCAGUGAUUGCCAACCCAACACCCACAUUCGCUUGGUACAAACUGACUGAUGGAAAGAAAAAUAGACUUGUGUCUGGUGGUUCAGCUACAACUGACAUAUCUGCUGUUGAAAACCUCACACUGACAAAUGUUCAGCAGGGAGAUAUUGGUACCUAUCAGGUUGUGGUGUCUAAUGGUGCUAAAAACACAGAUCUUCUGAAGAACCUGACACUUGAUGUAGCAGGUCCUCCGAAUAUUCCUCCUGAACUCAAAGUAUGGAGCAGUGAUCCACACUCAAUGUUGGUUGUUUGGUUAGAAGGAUUUAACGGAGGCUCAGAGCAGAUGUUUAUUGUACAAUACCGAGCAGACACAACACCACAGUGGAAGAAUCUUACUGAAGUCAUUCCAGGAAAAGGCGCUAACACGAUUCAGAAAGCUGUUAUACCAAAUCUUCAAUCAAACACGAGAUAUAUCGUGCGGGUUUUGGCUUAUAAUGAAUAUGGAUACAAAGGCUUUACUGAGGAACAGGAAGCUUUGACUUCUCCUUCAGGUGAAUCUUUUCUACCAGCCUCAUCAAACGAAGUAACUGGCUCAGGGAUUGCAGUCGGGAUUGUGAUUGGAAUUGCUAUCGCUGCUGUGGCAGCGACUGUCUUUGUUAUUUUGUGGAGACGAGGCUAUGUGUGUGCAUCUUCAAAAUCAGAUGGGCAGAAAUCAGAAGAUAAUGUACAUCAACAUGCACAGCUAGACGACAGAAGACGUGGAAACAAUCAUGAACUCGGUAAUUCUGGUGACCAGACAAACACAUACGAGGGACUUGGAACUCGAGAAGAUACGCCGUAUGCAAAAAUGGAACUUUAUGAAAAUCUUAAAACAUGAGAAACGAUCAUGGUGAUAUACGUCACAGGAUUAUGUUGCAGGACGAACUCGUAACUCUGAAACAUUCUUUUGGACUUUCACGAGGACAAGUCACGAUAUGCUUAAAGGCACAUCAUUGACUGAACUGAUAUCUAUGCAAUACCUGAUAUUUGGUGUGACAAUAAUCUAUACCUUUAACCGUAUCUGUGAAGAAAUAAGCCGGCACGGCAAUAUACGCGACAGUUGAUUUACAGUAUGCAUUAGUUCACCAUUAUCUUGAAUAACUUACACUGAAACUUUCAACGGGUUCUGGUGGACUUUCAGAACGAACUUAUAAUAAUAUUAUACAUAAUGACACAUCACUGACUAGACUGACAUCUGAUGCUAUGACUUGUUUUUCUAGUGAAAAUAAUGAAACAGUUACCUUAAAAAGAUGCGUUUCCAUAGCAUAAGUGCGUUAUUGUGCAACUUAAGAAAUAAAAGUAAUCUUAGAGU
rnacentral:misc_RNA from 1 species